rnacentral:rRNA from 1 species
UAGAGUUUGAUCCUGGCUCAGGAUGAACGCUAGCGGCAGGCUUAACACAUGCAAGUCGAGGGGUAUAGUUCUUCGGANCUAGAGACCGGCGCACGGGUGCGUAACGCGUAUGCAAUCUACCUUUUACAGAGGGAUAGCCCAGAGAAAUUUGGAUUAAUACCUCAUAGUAUUAUGAAAUGGCAUCAUUUUAUAAUUAAAGUCACAACGGUAAAAGAUGAGCAUGCGUCCCAUUAGCUAGUUGGUAAGGUAACGGCUUACCAAGGCUACGAUGGGUAGGGGUCCUGAGAGGGAGAUCCCCCACACUGGUACUGAGACACGGACCAGACUCCUACGGGAGGCAGCAGUGAGGAAUAUUGGACAAUGGGCGCAAGCCUGAUCCAGCCAUGCCGCGUGCAGGAUGACGGUCCUAUGGAUUGUAAACUGCUUUUAUACGAGAAGAAACACUCCUUCGUGAAGGAGCUUGACGGUAUCGUAAGAAUAAGGAUCGGCUAACUCCGUGCCAGCAGCCGCGGUAAUACGGAGGAUCCAAGCGUUAUCCGGAAUCAUUGGGUUUAAAGGGUCCGUAGGCGGUUUAGUAAGUCAGUGGUGAAAGCCCAUCGCUCAACGGUGGAACGGCCAUUGAUACUGCUAAACUUGAAUUAUUAGGAAGUAACUAGAA